AACGAACGCUGGCGGCAUGCCUAACACAUGCAAGUCGAACGAGACCUUCGGGUCUAGUGGCGCACGGGUGCGUAACGCGUGGGAACCUGCCCUUAGGUUCGGAAUAACUCCCCGAAAGGGGUGCUAAUACCGGAUAAUGUCUUCGGACCAAAGAUUUAUCGCCUUUGGAUGGGCCCGCGUUGGAUUAGCUAGUUGGUAGGGUAAAAGCCUACCAAGGCGACGAUCCAUAGCUGGUCUGAGAGGAUGAUCAGCCACACUGGGACUGAGACACGGCCCAGACUACUACGGGAGGCAGCAGUGGGGAAUAUUGGACAAUGGGCGAAAGCCUGAUCCAGCAAUGCCGCGUGAGUGAUGAAGGCGUUAGGGUUGUAAAGCUCUUUUACACGGGAUGAUAAUGACAGUACCGGGAGAAUAAGCUCCGGCUAACUCCGUG
rnacentral:rRNA from 1 species